AUGGGUGGGCACUCCGGAUUUCCGGUCACCUAUCAUCGCAUCCGCCGCCUUUUUGCCUGGCCCAAAAUGAAGGACACUAUUCGCCAGUAUGUGCGCACUUGUGCUGUCUGUCAGCAAGUCAAGCUGGAGCGAGUCAAAUACCCUGGUCUGUUAGAACCAAUUCCAUUUCCGGAAGGAGUUUGGGAGGUUGUUACUAUGGACUUCAUUGAUGGCCUCCCGCAAUCCAACAGGGCCAACCGUAUCCUCGUCGUUGUGGACAAGUUCACACGGGCAAUUAUCUCGGAUCGAGACCCGACGUUUAUCAGCAGAUUCUGGCAGGAAUUGUUCAAAAUCAUUGGGACAGAGUUGAACAUGAGCACAUCGUAUCAUCAGCAGACGGACGGCCAGACAGAAUGUGUCAAUAAAUGCUUGGAGAUCUAUCUUCGCUGCUUCAUCCAUGCCUGUCCAAAUUACUGGAGUCAGUUUCUGCCGCUGGCUGAGUUCUGGUAUAAUUCGAGUUACCACUCUGCCCUAGACAUGUCACCAUUCCAUGCUCUGUGUAGCCAUGAGCCGAGGCACUUGGGCAUUGAGGUUGCAUCUGCUUGUAAGAUCCUGCUCUUGGAAUGGCUGGUGGAAAGAACCAUGCAGCAAGUCCUUAAGCAGCACCUACAUCGAGCUCGCCACUGUUAG
rnacentral:rRNA from 1 species